CAGUAGCCACGGGAAUACGAAGGGUGCAAGCGUUACUCGGAAUUACUGGGCGUAAAGCGUGCGUAGGUGGUUGUUUAAGUCUGUUGUGAAAGCCCUGGGCUCAACCUGGGAAUUGCAGUGGAUACUGGGCAACUAGAGUGUGGUAGAGGGUAGUGGAAUUCCCGGUGUAGCAGUGAAAUGCGUAGAGAUCGGGAGGAACAUCCAUGGCGAAGGCAGCUACCUGGACCAACACUGACACUGAGGCACGAAAGCGUGGGGAGCAAACAGGAUUAGAUACCCGCGUAGUCCCUGUCUCUUAUAC
rnacentral:rRNA from 1 species